AGAGUUUGAUCAUGGCUCAGGAUGAACGACUAGCGACAGGCUUAACACAUGCAAGUCGAGGGGCAGCAAUAAAAGUAGCAAUACUUGGUGGCGACCGGCGCGACGGGUGAGUAACGCGUAUGCAACCUACCUAUCAGGAGGGGAACUAACCCGGACGAAAGUCGGACUAAUACCGCAUAAAACAGGGGCACCGCAUGGUGAUAUUUGUUAAAGAAAUUCGCUGAUAGAUGGGCAUGCGUUCCGUUAGGUAGUUGGUGAGGUAACGGCUCACCAAGCCGACGAUGGAUAGGGGAACUGAGAGGUUCGGUCCCCCACACUGGUACUGAGACACGGACCAGACUCCUACGGGAGGCAGCAGUGAGGAAUAUUGGUCAAUGGGCGGGAGCCUGAACCAGGGGCCAAGUCGCGUGAAAAGGAAGAAGGAUCUAUGGUUCGUAAACUUCUUUUGCAGGGGAAUAAAGUGCAGGACGUGUCCUGUUUUGUAUGUACCCUGAGAAUAAGGAUCGGCUAACUCCGUGCCAGCCGCAGC
rnacentral:rRNA from 1 species